CCUACGGGUGGCAGCAGUGGGGAAUAUUGGGCAAUGGGCGCAAGCCUGACCCAGCAACGCCGCGUGAAGGAAGAAGGAUUUCGGGUUGUAAACCUCUUUUGUCAGGGACGAAGCAAGUGACGGUACCUGACGAAUAAGCCCCGGCGAACUACGUGCCAGCAGCCGCGGUAAUACGUAGGUGGCAAGCGUUAGCCGGAUUUACUGGGUGUAAAGGGCGUGUAGGCGGGGUGGUAAGUUAGAGGUGAAAGCCGGGGGCUCAACCAGUGGCCGGCCGUGGAAACUAGUGGAGUGGAGUGCUGGAGAGGUGGGCGGAAUGCGGAGUGUAGCGGUGAAAUGCGUAGAGAGCAGGAAGAACACCGAUGGAGAAGGCAGCUGA
rnacentral:rRNA from 1 species